GGUUGAGUAGUGUAAUGGUUAUCACAUCAGAUUCUGACUCAGCAGAAAAUUGAGAUCGUUCUGAUGAUCUGGGUUCGAUUCCCAGCUCGACCU